rnacentral:lncRNA from 1 species
GAAAAAUUUAAUGCUUCCAAGCAGACAGCUUGAUAUGCAUUGCAACAAAUUAUUCCAACCCACUGCAAAUGUUUGUAAUAAAAAUGACAACUGAAUCUUAACUACUCUGGAACGAUACAGGAUGUGGAGGUACCAAUACAGCCUGAUAGACCAUAUCUUAUGAAAACAACGUGCAUACAGGGCAUAAUUGUAAUCAUAGAAUCACAAGGUUGGAAAGGACCUACAAGAUCAUCUACUUCAACCAUCCUCCCUUUACCAUACCUACAGAAAAACCACUAAACCAUAUCUCCUAUCUCCCCAUCCAGAUGCCAUUUCACUUCCAUGGGCAGUAAUGUGAUUGCUCCCAGACUGCUUCAGAAUGGUGAUGUAAGGCGGGGAGCCCUGUGAUUUCACUUGGGCUGCAGGAGAUGCAUAAAGAAUGAUCAAGGAGAAGGGUGUGGGAAGGGAACAGGCUUCAGAAGAAAUUAUUUCCUUCAUUUAUUUAGAAACCAAAUGAAACUGGCUGUGGGAUAUUGGGCAAGAAACUGUUUUCUAGCACUUUCUCUAAACAAAUGAACAAAAUACUAAUAAGCUUUCAAAAGAGUUCUUCCACUGGAAGAUAUCUAAAGAGAUGUCCAGAAGUAAAGGAGCAUUGUGAAACCCCAAAGGUGAGGACUUUUGAAAAUUCUACUUUUUAAGUAAAGAUUUUGUAACUAAGAUUGAGAAAAAUAGCAGAGCUGCAAAUA